rnacentral:misc_RNA from 1 species
UUUCCGUAGGGUAAGAACAAUCCAAAUAUCCAUUUUAGAAUAUCUACUAACAGUUGAAUAGUGAACCUGCGGAAGGAUCAUUACCGAGAAAGGCUCUUCUGAGCCAAUUCUCCACCCAAUGUCUUAAAACACCUUUUAAACUCUGAAUAAACUUCUGAGAAUAAAAACUUUCAACAACGGAUCUCUUGGUUCUGGCAUCGAUGAAGAACGCAGC